rnacentral:rRNA from 1 species
AUUGAACGCUGGCGGCAGGCCUAACACAUGCAAGUCGAGCGGAAACGAGAUAUCUGGAACUUCAGGGGACGAUAACGGCGUCGAGCGGCGGACGGGUGAGUAAUGCCUAGGAAAUUGCCCUGAUGUGGGGGAUAACCAUUGGAAACGAUGGCUAAUACCGCAUGAUGCCUACGGGCCAAAGAGGGGGACCUUCGGGCCUCUCGCGUCAGGAUAUGCCUAGGUGGGAUUAGCUAGUUGGUGAGGUAAGGGCUCACCAAGGCGACGAUCCCUAGCUGGUCUGAGAGGAUGAUCAGCCACACUGGAACUGAGACACGGUCCAGACUCCUACGGGAGGCAGCAGUGGGGAAUAUUGCACAAUGGGCGCAAGCCUGAUGCAGCCAUGCCGCGUGUGUGAAGAAGGCCUUCGGGUUGUAAAGCACUUUCAGUCGUGAGGAAGGUAGUGUAGUUAAUAGCUGCAUUAUUAGACGUUAGCGACAGAAGAAGCACCGGCUAACUCCGUGCCAGCAGCCGCGGUAAUACGGAGGGUGCGAGCGUUAAUCGGAAUUACUGGGCGUAAAGCGCAUGCAGGUGGUUUGUUAAGUCAGAUGUGAAAGCCCGGGGCUCAACCUCGGAAUUGCAUUUGAAACUGGCAGACUAGAGUACUGUAGAGGGGGGUAGAAUUUCAGGUGUAGCGGUGAAAUGCGUAGAGAUCUGAAGGAAUACCGGUGGCGAAGGAGGCCCCCUGGACAGAUACUGACACUCAGAUGCGAAAGCGUGGGGAGCAAACAGG